GGGCAAGUGGUCUAGCCUGGUUAUGAUACCGCUCUUACACAGCGGUGGUCGUUGGUUCGAAUCCGACCUUGCCCA
rnacentral:tRNA from 1 species